rnacentral:misc_RNA from 1 species
AAGUCGUAACAAGGUUUCCGUAGGUGAACCUGCGGAAGGAUCAUUAUUGAAUAAACUUGACGUGGUUGUAGCUGACUCUCGCAGGAGAGUAUGUGCUCGCCCGUUACCUUUAUCUUUCCACCUGUGCACUUUUUGUAGAUUUGAAUUGUAACUUUCCGAGGCAACUCGGUUGGGAGGAAUGUCAUUCGUGGCUUUUCUUGUAAUACGUUCAAGUCUAUGUUUUCAUAUACUCCAAAAAUGUAACAGAAUGUAUCAUUGGGCCUUGUGCCUAUAAACUUUAUACAACUUUCAGCAACGGAUCUCUUGGCUCUC